UUAUUAUUCAUCUUAAUUUCUUUAUUACAAUGGCUUGUCCUCAAUAAUGCCACCUACAUUUUACAGUUUUCAUAUGGUUGUUCUAAGUCUCAAUAUUAAUCAUUAAAUUCAAAGCCAAGGGUAAUAUGGGCAUUCCACCCAAAUGUCUCCGGCUCUAAUGCUUCUUUUUUUGCACAUAUACAAGGCAUGCCAAAUGAUGCCAGAAUCUAAAUAAAGAGACAGAUUUCA